UUUCCGUAGGUGAACCUGCGGAAGGAUCAUUACCGAGUUCAUGCCCUUACGGGUAGAUCUCCCACCCUUUGUAUACUAUACCUUUGUUGCUUUGGCGGGCCGCCUAGCUACUGGCUUCGGCUGGUAUGUGCCCGCCAGAGGACCCAAAACCCUGAAUUAUUAGUGUCGUCUGAGUAAAAUAUUUAAUAUUUAAAACUUUCAACAACGGAUCUCUUGGCUCUG
rnacentral:misc_RNA from 1 species